rnacentral:rRNA from 1 species
GCCGCGGUAACGACGGGUAACGGGGAAUCAGGGUUCGAUUCCGGAGAGGGGAGCCCGAGAAACGGCUACCACUUCCAAGGAAGGCAGCAGGCGCGCAACUUACCCUAAUCUCGAUUCGAGGAGGUAGUGACAAGAAAUACCGAUGCGGGACCCUACGGGUGCCGCGUUCGGAAUGAGUACGAUUCGAACCACCUAACGAGGAACGAUCGGAGGGCAAGUCUGGUGCCAGCAGCCGCGGUAAUUCCAGCUCCAAUAGCGUACGUUAAAGUUGCUGCAGUUAAAAAGCUCGUAGUUGAACGUUCGGGUUCCGCGGGACGGGGCCGCCCCGCGAGGGACGGCGCCGCCCCGGGGCUCGUGAUAUCUCAUCUCGCCGCCCCGUCGCGAGGCGGACGGAGGGAUGGAUGAGG